AUUGAACGCUGGCGGCAGGCCUAACACAUGCAAGUCGAGCGGAGCGGCGGACGGGUGCGGAAUGCCUAGGACUCUGCCUGGUAGUGGGGGAUAAGGUCCGGUAACGGGCGCUAAUGCCGCAUACUAUCAGAAGAGCCUAGGUCGGAUUGGGUAGUGGGGGGGGUAAAGGUCUACCAAGGCGACGAUCCGUAACUGGUCUGAGAGGAUGAUCAGUCACACUGGAACUGAGACACGGUCCAGACUCCUACGGGAGGCAGCAGUGGGGAAUAUUGGACAAUGGGCGAAAGCCUGAUCCAGCCAUGCCGCGUGUGUGAAGAAGGUCUUCGGGUUGUAAAGCACUUUAAGUUGGGAGGCGUUACCCACAGAAUAAGCACCGGCUAACUUCGUGCCAGCAGCCGCGGUAAUUC
rnacentral:rRNA from 1 species